rnacentral:rRNA from 1 species
CCUACGGGUGGCAGCAGUGAGGAAUAUUGGUCAAUGGACGCAAGCCUGAACCAGCCAUGCCGCGUGCAGGAAGACGGCACUACGAGUUGUAAACUGCUUUUGUACGAGGGCAAACGCAGAUACGCGUACCCGGCUGAGAGUACCGUACGAAAAAGCAUCGGCUAACUCCGUGCCAGCAGCCGCGGUAAUACGGAGGAUUCAAGCGUUAUCCGGAUUUAUUGGGUUUAAAGGGUGCGCAGGCGGCCGGUUAAGUCAGCGGUGAAAUCCCGGGGCUCAACCCCGCCGAGCCGUCGAAACUGGGGGGCUGGAGUGGGAGAGAGGCAUGCGGAAUGCGCGGUGUAGCGGUGAAAUGCUUAGAUAUCGCGCAGAACCCCGAUUGCGAAGGCAGCGUGCCGUGUCGACACUGACGCUGAGGCACGAAAGCGCGGGGAUCGAACAGGAUUAGAUACCCUUGUAGUC